rnacentral:rRNA from 1 species
GACGAACGCUGGCGGCGUGCUUAACACAUGCAAGUCGAACGGAAAGGCCCUGCUUGCAGGGUACUCGAGUGGCGAACGGGUGAGUAACACGUGGGUGAUCUGCCCUGCACUUCGGGAUAAGCCUUGGAAACUGGGUCUAAUACCGGAUAGGAGCCAUCUUUAGUGUGAUGGUUGGAAAGUUUUUUCGGUGUAGGAUGAGCUCGCGGCCUAUCAGCUUGUUGGUGGGGUAAUGGCCUACCAAGGCGGCGACGGGUAGCCGGCCUGAGAGGGUGGACGGCCACAUUGGGACUGAGAUACGGCCCAGACUCCUACGGGAGGCAGCAGGGGGGAAUAUUGCACAAUGGGCGCAAGCCUGAUGCAGCGACGCCGCGUGGGGGAUGACGGCCUUCGGGUUGUAAACUCCUUUCGCUAGGGACGAAGCUUUUUGUGACGGUACCUAGAUAAGAAGCACCGGCUAACUACGUG